rnacentral:rRNA from 1 species
AGCGAACGCUGGCGGCAGGCCUAAUACAUGCAAGUCGAACGGUCUCUUCGGAGGCAGUGGCGGACGGGUGAGUAACGCGUGGGAACGUGCCCUUUGGUACGGAACAACUGAGGGAAACUUCAGCUAAUACCGUAUGUGCCCUUCGGGGGAAAGAUUUAUCGCCAUUGGAGCGGCCCGCGUUGGAUUAGCUAGUUGGUGGGGUAAUGGCCCACCAAGGCGACGAUCCAUAGCUGGUCUGAGAGGAUGAUCAGCCACACUGGGACUGAGACACGGCCCAGACUCCUACGGGAGGCAGCAGUAGGGAAUCUUGCGCAAUGGGCGAAAGUCUGACGCAGCUAUGCCGCGUGAAUGAUGAAGGUCUUAGGAUUGUAAAAUUCUUUCACCGGGGACGAUAAUGACGGUACCCGGAGAAGAAGCCCCGGCUAACUUCGUGCCAGCAGCCGCGGUAAU